UCUCAAUGCAUAAGACCGAUAACUGUCUGCAGAGUUCGGUAGCAAUUUCAGUAUGAAGAAGCCUAGGAGAAACCGCAAGAGCUUGGAGAAAAUGCAUAGCAACCUGCCACUCAUCCCCUUGGAGUUUUCUAACAACAGAGAGCCUUGAUGUUCUCUCUUGACUCCAUUUUGCUUGAAGUGCUGCUUCUAUACUCUCUAUCCCCCAAUAAAGAUUUGACAAUAUCGACUGCUCCGAAAACUCAAGGUACCCUCUAUUACUACAAACAUCAAGCUUGGAACUGCAUUUCAAUUUCAAUGAUUUCCAAGAUUUUGUAUCUGCUAGCAAUGCAGUUAUGUGCUGAUUUAUAACUACAACGACUUUGCGUACCGACUCGAGGUCUAGUUUAUCAUCAUCAUAUGAAAAUACUGGAGGAGUGGAAGAAGAGAGAGUAGCCAUUGAAUUAUGUGACAUUUUGGCCUCAUGAAGAAGAAGAAGAAAUAGUGUUUUACAGAUAAGUGUAGUAGAGUGGCUUUUUCUGUAUUCUUUGCUCGUGAUUGUUGCCAAAUUCUGCGUCUUUUAGGGGACCCUAUGCUACAGACAAAGAUAUGGCCGUUGCCCCCAUUAAUGGAGGGAAAGUUUUACAUUAUAGAAAUAAAAAGACAAAUGUUUGAGGUUAUUGUCUUUACUCAGUAAACUUGAAUUGUGUGGAUUGAUUUUGAUUCAUAUAGUUAAUGCCAACUAA